AACGCCUUCAUUCUAUUUGGUAGUAGGAUCAGAGUGGGAAAAAAGCCUAUGAUUUUCUCUGUCAAUCAGCAGCAAGAGAGGAGAAAAAGAAAAGAAAAAACCUUUCCUUUCAUCACAAAGCAACAUUAUUGACUAAGAUUAGAUCUUUAUCACCAUAAAAACAAUGUCAAGACAGAAGCAAGGAGGUGAAGAAACCAUGAUGUCAAGCCUGAAUGAAACAAUUGAAAGAGAAGAGAGAGAAGAGUUGGAAAAAGAAGGUGGUGGUUCAGGUUCACAUUCCUCUUUGAAAAGACUUCUCUGGCAUGGUGGUUCUGCUUAUGAUGCUUGGUUCAACUGUGCCUCAAAUCAGUUGGACUGCUUAUUUGAUAAGCAUUCUCUACAUUGAGUACAAAACCCGCAAGGAGAAAGAGAAUGUCAGUUUCAAAAACCAUGUCAUUCAGCUUGUAAACUUUCUCGCACCCCUAAU